rnacentral:rRNA from 1 species
AUGGUGGGAACUCCAGGGAGACUGCCGGUGAUAAACCGGAGGAAGGUGGGGACGACGUCAAGUCAUCAUGGCCCUUACGAGUAGGGCUACACACGUGCUACAAUGGCGUAUACAGAGGGCUGCCAACCAGCGAUGGUGAGCGAAUCCCAGAAAGUACGUCGUAGUCCGGAUUGGAGUCUGCAACUCGACUCCAUGAAGUCGGAAUCGCUAGUAAUCGUGAAUCAGAAUGUCACGGUGAAUACGUUCCCGGGCCUUGUACACACCGCCCGUCACACCAUGGGAGUGGGCUGCACCAGAAGUAGAUAGCUUAACCUUCGGGAGGGCGUUUACCACGGUGUGGUUCAUGACUGGGGUGAAGUCGUAACAAGGUAGCCCUAGGGGAACCUGGGGCUGGAUCACCUCCUUAC